CUACGGGCUGCUCCAGUGGGGAAUAUUGCACAAUGGACGAAAGUCUGAUGCAGCAACGCCGCGUGGAGGAUGACACAUUUCGGUGCGUAAACUCCUUUUAUAUGAGAAGAUAAUGACGGUAUCAUAUGAAUAAGCACCGGCUAACUCCGUGCCAGCAGCCGCGGUAAUACGGGGGGUGCAAGCGUUACUCGGAAUCACUGGGCGUAAAGAGCAUGUAGGCGGAUUAAUAAGUUGGAAGUGAAAUCCUAUAGCUUAACUAUAGAACUGCUUCCAAAACUGUUGAUCUAGAAUAUGGGAGAGGUAGAUGGAAUUUCUGGUGUAGGGGUAAAAUCCGUAGAGAUCAGAAGGAAUACCGAUUGCGAAGGCGAUCUACUGGAACAUUAUUGACGCUCAGAUGCGAAAGCGUGGGGAGCAAACAGGAUUAGAUACCCCAGUAGUC
rnacentral:rRNA from 1 species